rnacentral:lncRNA from 1 species
AAUUUUUAUAAUGGAAGACCAGUUUACUGGAAGUGUCUCUUUGGGGUUCCUGUCUGAGGGAAAAUAACUGACUCUGUGGAAGCAAUGAGACUCUGCCUCUGGGAUUCCUCUUUUCCAUCCAUCUGAUCUACACCGAGAGAUUUAUCCACCAGAGAUCAUCUGUUCCUGUCAACUGUGUUCCUGAUUUCCAGAGUCUUAAACAUAUUAGAUUUAUUGACAAGAGCUGACCUGAGAAGCUAAAAUCUGUCUUUCGUCAAACUGAAGCCUGCAGCCUCUUGGCUGGACCCUGUGGAGAACUUUGCCAGUUUCUCCAUUCUGCAUGAGUUACCUGAACUAGAUUUCCUCUACAAAAUAUUAUUUGGUGGAGGGCAAUAGACAGGAUAGCUAGAUAGAUUUGGGGUUUCAGAGAUAGAGUAGUUUUAAGGAACAUCAAGAACCAGAAGAGGACCCUGUGAAGGGCUGUAGUUUUGGGAAUAUAUAGAGAGAAUUAUAGUUUAGGGAAUUUCCUUUGGCCCUCCUUCUGUUUCCCUAUUUAAAUAUUUUCCACCCAAAACCCAUUUUUUGCAUAAGGAAAAGCAGUCAGAUUGCAUUUGUCACUGGGUAAGACCUGAGAACUUCUAGUUCAGCCUACCAGCCUGACCCAGACAGAGACACUAGUUAUCAAAUUAAGAUCUUGAAAAGUGGAACAACUCACAUUAUUCAUGAGUAUUCUGGGAACAAAUAUGUUCCGUGUAGUUCAUUUACUAAGAGAAACCAUCGCCAGAAAAUAAUAUGUUCCUGGUGAGAGACUAUUCCAAUGUCACAUAUUUGUCAAAAAGAAAACUUGGGAGCAAUUUAAAAAGGACCUAAUUGAAUUCCUCACUUAAACCAAAUUGUAUCAUGACUUUUGAAGCUGUCAACUACCAUAAUAGUUUUAUGACCUUCAGCUGCCCAUUCAGCACUGACACAGAAGUCAAACACACCUCAUGCUUCCUAAUUCCUAAUUAUUAUAUUCUCUUUACUCCACCCUCUAUACUGCUAUUGCAUGCUGACAUUUGGACUGACAUCAAGAUUCUGAGGACUCCAGACUCCUAG